GAUGAACGCUGGCGGCGUGCCUAAUACAUGCAAGUCGAGCGAAUGGAUUAAGAGCUUGCUCUUAUGAAGUUAGCGGCGGACGGGUGAGUAACACGUGGGUAACCUGCCCAUAAGACUGGGAUAACUCCGGGAAACCGGGGCUAAUACCGGAUAAUAUUUUGAACUGCAUGGUUCAAAAUUGAAAGGCGGCUUCGGCUGUCACUUAUGGAGGGACCCGCGGCGCAUUAGCGAGUUGGUGAGGUAACGGCUCACCAAGGCAACGAUGAGUAGCCGACCUGAGAGGGCGAUCGGCCACACUGGGACUGAGACACGGCCCAGACUCCUACGGGAGGCAGCAGUAGGGAAUCUUCCGCAAUGGACGAAAGUCUGACGGAGCAACGCCGCGUGAGUGAUGAAGGCUUUCGGGUCGUAAAUCUCUGUUGUUAGGGAAGAACAAGUGCUAGUUGAAUAAGCUGGCACCUUGACGGUACCUAACCAGAAAGCCACGGCUAACUACGUGCCAGCCGCCGCCGUAA
rnacentral:rRNA from 1 species